rnacentral:rRNA from 1 species
GGGGCGGGGACGGGUGUUAAAGGCGACGGCGGCGGCAGGAGCCCCAGAGGCAGGUCUGAGGCCUGGGCAGGGACGGCGGUGGCCGCGGGUAUCGGAACUAAAGGGCAGGGGGAGGUAGCGGACGGAAAGGGCCGGGGAAGCGACGGUGUUGUACCCGUAGAAGCGACCGGGCUCAAAGGUGGCUGCCGCCACUCGUAUAGGGUCUAGGGGAUUGGGGUAGGUGAGUACGGAAGGGGUCACGGCACCGGUUCCUGUCGAGGCAGGCGGCCCUCGAAGUGUUUGGUGGUGAUCGGGAGUGCUUCCUGGUUCAGUCGCGGGAGGAGAAGGAGGAGAGUCCUUUUUUAGAGCAGAGGUUGUUCGAGCCGCUACGACGGUGGUUACCGCGCUACAGAGUACUUUCGAACAGGAUCUCCGUACGGCGACCGUGGCCACCCGGGAGUGACUAGAAUAGGUUCGGUAAACUCCUAUACGGCACAGUUCUAAGAUACGAACCAGAAGAACCAAACUGUAGGUUAAGUUUUUAUACAAGUGAAGGGACCUCGUCAGUAUCGCCGUCACCACCUCGCACUGUUCGUUGGUUCACCGCGGUUUAAGUUUGAAUUUCUUUUUAUACACACUAUUUAACUUUUGUCCACGCCGAAUUCCUUCCACGCCGAAUCUACGUCGUCGUUCGGCGGCCACUACUAGCCACCGCGUGUUAUGCCGUCCUCGUAAUCUACUGCUCUUCCCGUCGUAGUCACGACCGCACGUCUACGUCGUCGUUCGGCGACCACUACUAGCCACCGCGUGUUAUACCGUCCUUGUACUCUACUGCUCUUCCCGUCAUCGUCACGACCGUACGUCUACGUUGUUGUUCGGCGACCACUAAUAGCCACCACGUGUUAUGCUGUCCGUAAUUGUAAGCACCGCACGUCUACGUCGUCGUUCGGCAGCCGGUUACGAAUCACCCCGCGUCUUGCUGUACUAUUUACCUACUGUCUCUUCCACCGCAGUGUGGGGACAAACAGGAGGUACUCGGAGGCGGUCACGUAUCUCCAUGCAUCGGUGGAUCGCGAACCUACACUCCUGAACCUCACAGUACGUUGUAAACCGACAAACAGCAUAAAACCUAGUCGGAUGAAGGUAACAUAGUACUUAGAAUACACACAAAACCUGGUAAACCACGAAGUUCAGAAAACCUAAUCUUUGAAACACGAGUACCUACAUUGAACAGACAUUUGAGAAGGUCUGGUCGUUUAUCACCAGGAAUACAGUGAACACACAAAACCUACCAGUAUGAUACGAAUAACAACACAAACACUUGGAUACAC